rnacentral:sRNA from 1 species
GCCAGGCUUGGUGGCAAUGCCUGUAAUCCCAGAGAAUCAGGAGGCUGAGGAAGGAGGAUUGCAAGUUCAAGGCCAGUUUCAGCAACUUUGCAAGACCCUGUCUCAA